GGGGGUAUAGCUCAGUGGCAGAGCACAUUCUUGGCGUGCAUGAGGUCCUGGGUUCAAUCUCCAGUGCCUUCG
rnacentral:tRNA from 1 species